AGGGUAUGUGUGUGUGUUGUGGGGGAGCGGGGGGUACGUGCAAUUGUUUAUACAAGAAAGCUGGGCACCACAUGCUAAGAAGCAUGUUGAAUCUUUUUGGUGGCAUGAUGUCAUGCCCCUUUCCCGGAACUUCUUUAUGCUAUCUUCCUGCAAGGUGACUCGACUUUAUUUUGGAUAGUAAUCUGGGACCUUGGAAUAUUGCAAUGGUAAUUUCCCCGGCUGUUCUCCUUUGCAAAAAAUAGAGUACCUCAAUUAAGAAAUUUUUGGCGAAUCCCAAGGUACCAAGAGUUACGAACAUCAAGAUUAAUAUUGCAGAAGGUGCAUGUGGGAGUUCCGAACUUUCCAGAGGUGUACACAGCAUAAUUUUCGAACUUCACUUCUACUUCCCUCCGUUCCAACUUUACCUUUUUCCUAAGUCAAACCACUCUAACUCUAAAAUAAAUGCGCUAUCAAAACAUAAUUCAUGAUGGAUUUAAU
rnacentral:lncRNA from 1 species